rnacentral:misc_RNA from 1 species
ACCUACUGUUUAAUUUUGAGGGUUCGUUUUUACGAAUGCUCAAAAUUAGCACUUUAAGCAACGGGAUUUAUCCGUUGGCGCUGUGCGUUAGCACUUUAAGCAACGGAAUUUAUUCGUUGGCGCUGUGCGUUAGCACUUUGAAAACUGCAUAUAUAUAUUUAGUGAUAUGACAUCUAAUUUGUAAUAUAUAAAGCUGAUAACUUUUUGAAAUUAUCGAAGUUGAUAGCUUCUAAUCUAUCAAACCUUUUUAACUGGUCAA